rnacentral:rRNA from 1 species
AUUGAACGCUGCGGCAGGCCUAACACAUGCAAGUCGAGCGUGCGACGGACGGGCGAGUGAUUCUUAGGUAUCUGCCCAUCAGUUGGGGAUAACAUCACGUAAGGGAUGCUAAUACCGCACCGUUCUUGAUGAGCCUAAGUCGUAUUAGCUAGUUGGUAGGGUAAAGGCUUACCAAGGCGACGAUCUGUAGCGGGUCUGAGAGGGUGAUCCGCCACACUGGAACGGAGACACGGCCCAGACUCCUACGGGAGGCAGCAGUAGGGAAUAUUGCACAAUGGGCGAAAGCCUGAUGCAGCAAUGCCGCGUGUGUGAAGAAGGCCUUCGGAUUGUAAAGCACUUUCAGCAGGGAAGCGGUACCCGCAGAGAAAGCACCGGCUAACUACGUGCCAGCAGCCGCGGUAAUAC